rnacentral:lncRNA from 1 species
AACUUGGGUGGACCAGUGGAUUAGAUUUAGUGAAGUUUCUGAACUACUACAGAGAGCCAGUUCUUACCAAUAGCUGAAUCUAAAGAGAUGGGGUCUCCCUUUCAUAAGGGAUUUUGUUAAUUUUAUAUUCUUUUCUACCUUCCCUUCAGAUGGCAACUAUUAACCAAUCAAAGUGAGUUUUCCCCAGAACAUAUUAGAGGAGAGUUCUCUUUGCAUGUGUUUCAACCUUUGCCACAGAGAAUCACUGCUGACACACAGAGAAGCAAUCCUUGGUUUUUAGAAACAGAAACCAGAGUUGAUAGUCUAAUCAGCUAUUGGCUUGAAAAACAUAAGGAAAGGUUGCUUGGUGGGAGAAACAUCUGCUUUUGUGAAGAGUGUGCAAAGAAACGAAUCUGAUAGUCUCAGCUAUGAUCUAUAGUUGUGGGUUGUUUCCAACAUAUGGAGAUACUACGAAAUGAAGACCUUUGAAAACAUCACGUCAUUUCGCAUUCUAAUGUUUUGAGCGUAUCUGCUUUCAUAUAUCUCAUAUUCCAGUUCCAGUCUUGCAGCACAAAAUUGAACUUGCCUUUGGCCUCUGUGCAUCACUUCAACAAGACAUCCCUUCAGACUUAAUCCAGUUGCUUCUGAAAAACAGCACUAUUUGUACUUA